rnacentral:lncRNA from 1 species
GAGAAUGUGGGCUGACCAGAAAAUCCAGAGAAGAGCCCUGGUGUAAAGAUGAAACCUAUUAAGAGAGACUGAAUUCUGAAUCCUUAGGCUAAGGAGGAACAGGAUAACAGCCUUCAGGUUGGAAACUUGGCCCAAAGCUGAGGCUCUUUGAAGCUAUGGUAUUGCAAUCAAAUUCUUGAUGUAAUGAAGCAACGCCCGUGUGUGUAGGUCCAUGCACACAUAUGUCUGCUGGGCUCCAGUCAAGUACAUUGUCCCUCCUGAUCACGACUGCUCUGAAGGCAGGGUAGCUGUCUGA